rnacentral:rRNA from 2 species
GCAGUCGAACGAACUCUGGUAUUGAUUGGUGCUUGCAUCAUGAUUUACAUUUGAGUGAGUGGCGAACUGGUGAGUAACACGUGGGAAACCUGCCCAGAAGCGGGGGAUAACACCUGGAAACAGAUGCUAAUACCGCAUAACAACUUGGACCGCAUGGUCCGAGUUUGAAAGAUGGCUUCGGCUAUCACUUUUGGAUGGUCCCGCGGCGUAUUAGCUAGAUGGUGAGGUAACGGCUCACCAUGGCAAUGAUACGUAGCCGACCUGAGAGGGUAAUCGGCCACAUUGGGACUGAGACACGGCCCAAACUCCUACGGGAGGCAGCAGUAGGGAAUCUUCCACAAUGGACGAAAGUCUGAUGGAGCAACGCCGCGUGAGUGAAGAAGGGUUUCGGCUCGUAAAACUCUGUUGUUGAAGAAGAACAUAUCUGAGAGUAACUGUUCAGGUAUUGACGGUAUUUAACCAGAAAGCCACGGCUAACUACGUGCCAGCAGCCGCGGUAAUACGUAGGUGGCAAGCGUUGUCCGGAUUUAUUGGGCGUAAAGCGAGCGCAGGCGGUUUUUUAAGUCUGAUGUGAAAGCCUUCGGCUCAACCGAAGAAGUGCAUCGGAAACUGGGAAACUUGAGUGCAGAAGAGGACAGUGGAACUCCAUGUGUAGCGGUGAAAUGCGUAGAUAUAUGGAAGAACACCAGUGGCGAAGGCGGCUGUCUGGUCUGUAACUGACGCUGAGGCUCGAAAGUAUGGGUAGCAAACAGGAUUAGAUACCCUGGUAGUCCAUACCGUAAACGAUGAAUGCUAAGUGUUGGAGGGUUUCCGCCCUUCAGUGCUGCAGCUAACGCAUUAAGCAUUCCGCCUGGGGAGUACGGCCGCAAGGCUGAAACUCAAAGGAAUUGACGGGGGCCCGCACAAGCGGUGGAGCAUGUGGUUUAAUUCGAAGCUACGCGAAGAACCUUACCAGGUCUUGACAUACUAUGCAAAUCUAAGAGAUUAGACGUUCCCUUCGGGGACAUGGAUACAGGUGGUGCAUGGUUGUCGUCAGCUCGUGUCGUGAGAUGUUGGGUUAAGUCCCGCAACGAGCGCAACCCUUAUUAUCAGUUGCCAGCAUUAAGUUGGGCACUCUGGUGAGACUGCCGGUGACAAACCGGAGGAAGGUGGGGAUGACGUCAAAUCAUCAUGCCCCUUAUGACCUGGGCUACACACGUGCUACAAUGGAUGGUACAACGAGUUGCGAACUCGCGAGAGUAAGCUAAUCUCUUAAAGCCAUUCUCAGUUCGGAUUGUAGGCUGCAACUCGCCUACAUGAAGUCGGAAUCGCUAGUAAUCGCGGAUCAGCAUGCCGCGGUGAAUACGUUCCCGGGCCUUGUACACACCGCCCGUCACACCAUGAGAGUUUGUAACACCCAAAGUCGGUGGGGUAACCUU